rnacentral:misc_RNA from 1 species
AACAAGGCGUACCUGCGGACCUGCGGAAGGAUCAUUACAGAGUUGCAAAACUCCCUAAACCAUUGUGAACGUUACCUAAACCGUUGCUUCGGCGGGCGGCCCGGGUCCUUCCCGGCGCCCAUCGGCCCUCGCGGGCGCCCGCCGGAGGUAAACCAAACUAUUGCAUUGUAUGGCCUCUCUGAGUCUUCUGUACUGAAUAAGUCAAAACUUUCAACAACGGAUCUCAGAUCGGAAGAGCAC